GCAUGGUGGAUGUCAGAGGAGAAGGGACUUUGGAACAGACAAUGUCAGAGCUGGGAGGAACCAGCUGAAGCCUUGGUGCUUUGACAUACCAUGGAUGACAGUGUGAUAUUGGGUGCUGUCUGCUGCCCCACAGAAAACCUCGAGCAUUUCAUGUGGUGAAGGCUCAGGGGAUCUCCACAAGUCUGCAAACCUUCGGCACAGGAAACUGAGGCCUGGAAUUAAGGAGUGUGCCCUGCAUCACAGUGAGAGUCCAGGUAUAACGCAGGCCCAGAUACAGUGUUUGCCUUUGAAGAGCAGGCCCUUCUGAAACAGCAGCAGAGGAGGAGGGAGAAUGGAGUUCUCGAGAUGGGUAUGGAACUGGAGGUGAAGGGCCCUGGCUGCCCACACUGGGAAUGCCAUCCCCUGAUGGAGAUGCAGAUCUCCUCCUUCCCAAUAGCUACAAUUUGCAGAAACAGACAGCUCCUCCACUUCUCCCGGAUCCAGAAAUGAAGCUACACAGGAUCCUCAGGAUGAAAACUAGAUGCCCCAGCUGUCCCUGUGGUGACUCACGAUGUCCUCACCUGUGAACUUAUUGGCUUUCACUACAACACUCUCCUUGAAGGGAAUCAACUCCCAACACGGCAAACUUCCAUCUCUCUUCCACUCCCCUGCUGCUUUUAGGAGCCUUAGCCUGGUUUCUCUGCCUGCUGUCACCCUUUGGUACCAAGAAGAGGAACAAAGCAGUGGAAUGGGGCAGAGGACCUUCAUUCAGAUCCCAGCUGUGCUGUGUGACACUGGGUAACUUGCUUAACCUUUCUGGGUCUGUGUCCUUAUCUGUAAAAGGAGGUGGUUAGACUAGACCACCCUGAGGCUCUUCUAGCCCAAAAUCUGUAAAUAUGUGAAUCUCUGCCAGGAGAAACGAUCUAGGACCCACUUCCCUUUUGGCUUGGUCCCUGAGCCAGGGACGGAAGCUUCCAGAGGGCAGGGGAUCACAAUCCGGAUACUUGGGUACCAUGACACCACCAUUCCCCCAAUGCCAACCUUCACUGGCUCUGGCUGGGUGCCUUGGGGGUGCACUCUAGCCGCCUCCUCCCAUGGCUCUGACAGAAAACAACAGCAAAUAGAGCCAUAAAUCACUCCUCUUGGCCGCCCUGGCUAGGGCUCGAGUUGGUCACAGCAGCCCAACAUCCAGGCGGAGGGCGCUGGCCAGGGCAGCCCGCGGGUGGAGGGGGCUGGCCCGCAGCUGCCUUCCUCGCUCCCUCCCCAGCCCAAGCUGCGUCCUGUGCUCUGGGGGGCUGGGGGUGGGCACCUAGCUGGGCCCGCUUUGCCAAGUUUCAGGUAUUCUAGUCACAUCUUCCCCACACCUGCCCCUGCUGAUGCUGGCUGUUCGUCUCUUUCCCUAGUCCCAGUUUGGGGUGAAAGCCUUCCUUAUUAGUCAAUCUGGAUCCCCAUUUACUGCGAAUUACCUAGCUUGAUUGUUAUUCAUGAGUGGAUAAAUCUGAAAUCUCA